CCUACGGGUGGCAGCAGUGGGGAAUAUUGCACAAUGGGGGAAACCCUGAUGCAGCGACGCCGCGUGAGUGAAGAAGUAUUUCGGUAUGUAAAGCUCUAUCAGCAGGGAAGAAAAUGACGGUACCUGCUUAAGAAGCCCCGGCUAACUACGUGCCAGCAGCCGCGGUAAUACGGAGGGGGCAAGCGUUAUCCGGAUUUAUUGGGUGUAAAGGGGGCGUAGGCGGCAGCACAAGUCUGGUGUGAAAUGCCGGGGCUUAACCCCGGAACUGCUUUGGAAACUGUGCAGCUAGAGUGCAGGAGAGGUAAGUGGAAUUCCUGGUGUAGCGGUGAAAUGCGUAGAUAUUAGGAGGAACACCAGUGGCGAAGGCGGCUUACUGGACUGUAACUGACGUUGAGGCUCGAAAGCGUGGGGAGCAAACAGGAUUAGAUACCCUAGUAGUC
rnacentral:rRNA from 1 species